CUACGCACUCCUACGGGAGGCAGCAGUGGGGAAUAUUGCUACAAUGGGCGCUAAGCCUGAUGCAGCCAUGCCGCGUGUAUGAAGAAGGCCUUCGGGUUGUAAAGUACUUUCAGCAGUGAGGAAGGUGGAUAUGUUAAUAGCAUAUUCAUUUGACGUUAGCUGCAGAAGAAGCACCGGCUAACUCCGUGCCAGCAGCCGCGGUAAUACGGAGGGUGCGAGCGUUAAUCGGAAUUACUGGGCGUAAAGCGCAUGCAGGUGGUUUGUUAAGUCAGAUGUGAAAGCCCGGGGCUCAACCUCGGAAUUGCAUUUGAAACUGGCAAACUAGAGUACUGUAGAGGGGGUAGAAUUUCAGGUGUAGCGGUGAAAUGCGUAGAGAUCUGAAGGAAUACCGGUGGCGAAGGCGGCCCCCUGGACAGAUACUGACACUCAGAUGCGAAAGCGUGGGGAGCAAACAGGAUUAGAUACCCUGGUAG
rnacentral:rRNA from 1 species